GCCGGUUUAGCUCAGUGGCAGAGCGUCUGUCUCGUAAACAGAAGGUCACAGGAUCGAUCCCUGUAACCGGCA
rnacentral:tRNA from 1 species